UCCAGUCUCCCAUAUGCUCAACGAUAUAAGAUGCAACAUAAUCUACUGCGCUGUUCACCUUUCCAAAGAUAUGUCGAAAAGACACUGUGAUAGAAUCAUGAAAGAAAAUCCAGAUAUCAUGGAGGAGCAAAUGGCCUCCAGCUGCUUCAUAUCAUCCUGAAUCCAACUAUAACAGUGGCAGAACCUCUCUCUAUGAAAAUCUUCUCCAGCUCCUGUCUGGAACAG
rnacentral:lncRNA from 1 species